rnacentral:misc_RNA from 1 species
UCUCCCGUGAGGGAGCAGUCUCGCCUGGCCCGUAGGCAACAGACAAUAGGGGUUGCGUUCGUUACCCCACUGAAGGGAACAGUUCAAACCACGAACUGACGACGACCAUGCAUCACCUGUGCUACACCCUCGAAGGCUCCCCUCCUUUCGGAAGGGAUGCAGUAGCAUUUCUAACCUUGGUAAGGUUCUUCGUUUGCCGACGAAUUGAGCCACAUAAUCCACCGCUUGUGCGAGUCCCCGUCUAUUCCUUUGAGUUUUAAGCUUGCGCUCGUACUACCCAGGCGGCUUGCUUAUCGCGUUAGCUUAGUCCCGCAGAGGGUCGAUACUCCGCGGAACGAGCAAGCAACGUUGAGGGCCAGGACUAC